GCAUAUCAUAAGCGAGGAAAAGAAACCAACAGGGAUUGCCCUAGUAACGGCGAGUGAAGCGGCAACAGCUCAAAUUUGAAAUCUGGCUCCUUUGGGGUCCGAGUUGUAAUUUGCAGAGGGUGCUUUGGCAUCGGCGGCGGUCUAAGUUCCUUGGAACAGGACAUCGCAGAGGGUGAGAAUCCCGUACGUGGGCGCCUGCCUUUGCCGUGUAAAGCCCCUUCGACGAGUCGAGUUGUUUGGGAAUGCAGCUCUAAAUGGGAGGUAAAUUUCUUCUAAAGCUAAAUACCGGCCAGAGACCGAUAGCGCACAAGUAGAGUGAUCGAAAGAUGAAAAGUACUUUGGAAAGAGAGUCAAAUAGCACGUGAAAUUGUUGAAAGGGAAGCGCUUGCAGCCAGACUUGCCCGCAGUUGCUCACCCAGGCUCCGGCCUGGGGCACUCUUCGGCGGGCAGGCCAGCAUCAGUUUGGGCGGUUGGAUAAAGGCCUCUGUCACGUAUCUCCCUUCGGGGUGACCUUAUAGGGGAGGCGCAAUGCAACCAGCCCGGACUGAGGUCCGCGCAUCUGCUAGGAUGCUGGCGUAAUGGCUGUAAGCGGCCCGUCUUGAAACACGGACCAAGGAGUCUAACAUCUAUGCGAGUGUUUGGGUGUCAAGCCCGGGCGCGUAAUGAAAGUGAACGGAGGUGGGAACCCUUUGGGUGCACCAUCGACCGAUCCUGAUGUCUUCGGAUGGAUUUGAGUAAGAGCAUAGCUGUUGGGACCCGAAAGAUGGUGAACUAUGCUUGAAUAGGGUGAAGCCAGAGGAAACUCUGGUGGWKKCUCGCAGCGGUUCUGACGUGCAAAUCGAUCGUCAAAUUUGGCAUAGGGCGAAAGACUAAUCGA
rnacentral:rRNA from 1 species